rnacentral:misc_RNA from 1 species
AACGCAUAUUGCACUCCUUGGUAUUCCUUGGAGUAUACCUGUUCGAGCGCCGUUUAUCUCUAAGGCAUUGCCUUGUGUUGAUGUUGCCCAUAUUAAGGGCUCAUCGAAAUAAAUGGGCACUUAUUCUUUGUCCUAAGCGCAGCAAAAUGUGUAAAAGGUCAAAGAGAAAGUAGCCAGUGCUUUCUAAAGCAUGGCCUCGGAUCAGGUAGGGUUACCCGCUGAACUUAA